CAGCAGCCGCGGGAAUACAGAGGGUGCGAGCGUUAAUCGGAUUUACUGGGCGUAAAGCGUGCGUAGGCGGCUUCUUAAGUCGGAUGUGAAAUCCCUGAGCUUAACUUAGGAAUUGCAUUCGAUACUGGGAAGCUAGAGUAUGGGAGAGGAUGGUAGAAUUCCAGGUGUAGCGGUGAAAUGCGUAGAGAUCUGGAGGAAUACCGAUGGCGAAGGCAGCCAUCUGGCCUAAUACUGACGCUGAGGUACGAAAGCAUGUGGAGCAAACAGGAUUAGAUACCCGGGUAGUCCCUGUCUCUUAUAA
rnacentral:rRNA from 1 species